GCCGGGCACGGUGGCUCAUGCCUGUAAUCCCAGCAUUUUGGGAGGCUGAGGUGGGAGGAUCACCUGAGGCCAGGAGUUCGAGACCAACCUGGCCAACAUGGUGAAACCCCAUUUCUA
rnacentral:sRNA from 1 species